rnacentral:misc_RNA from 1 species
GAAAUGCGAUAAGUAAUGUGAAUUGCAGAAUUCAGUGAAUCAUCGAAUCUUUGAACGCACAUUGCGCUCUUUGGUAUUCCGAAGAGCAUGCCUGUUUGAGUAUCAGCUGCAAAACUCCACCCGGGCGGUUGUUAAAAUCUUUCUGGUGGGAUUUGAGCUCUCUGGCCUUUGGGUCAGCGGCUUUAAAUAUAGCGAACAGCGGCCUGGCCUCGUCAAGCAACUCUGAUGCACUGAUUGAUGCCUUGGCGUCAUAUUUCGUCUCUGUUGUGAGGUAUAACCGGACUGUCACCUCGGCUAGCGCUGAAAUCGGAAGCGAAAGCUUUCUGAAGAUUGAUCUCAAAUCAGGUAGGACUACCCGCUGAACUUAA